GAUGCUUGUGGAAGUGGGACGGUAGUAGGAAAGGGAUGAGAUGUAACUGCAUCUGGUUUACUAACAUGGUUUCACUAUUCUAAUAUUCUUUAAAACAACAAAAAUUUAUAUUUUGCACCUUUAUUUCUAAUAUUUCAAUGUUUCAUCUCCAAACCCAAGACUAAGAACAAAGAAAAAUAAAACUCACGUUUAAAUAAAU
rnacentral:lncRNA from 1 species